AUUGGUCAUUACCUGCACCUGAUGAGCUCCAGAAAGAGCAAAACUGCUUAGGUCCUGUAAUACUGACCUGUAAGUGU
rnacentral:hammerhead_ribozyme from 2 species